rnacentral:ncRNA from 1 species
AAGAAAUCACCACCGGGUGGUUGGCAUGUGUAAAGCUCAUUAGGUCUGAGAAGAGCUUUACAGAUGCCUUUUUUGUUU